GGGUCGUCCCCAUACCCCGUCCGGUAUGGGCACCAAAACACAUAAGGUCUCCAUACCCCGUACAGUAUGAGAGACCACAAUCCCGGUAGGGUUCCCUACGGACCCGGUCCGUCCACCAUCUCCCAGGAUAUCUAGUCAGGCUGACCACAUUAUACAAUUAUCAAUUUACGUAACCUUUCAUUCCCCUUUUCCUCAGUCAGCAUCAUCAAAUCACACACAAACAAGCAACCAGUAAUUCAUGCCAAACCAGACAACAUACAACAUCGGGUUCUCAGUCAUUCAACCCGUAAUCAAUAAAACAGUGAUAUAUGCACACGAAACUAUGAAAUGAAAACAUCAGACCUCAUACGACAUUUAAAAUCGUAAAAUAGGCCAAACAAUAGCUAACCGACAAACACACCAGACUCGGACUCCAUUAGCGACCUUAAGCAAUUUC
rnacentral:lncRNA from 1 species